rnacentral:rRNA from 1 species
UGAACGCUGGCGGCAUGCCUUACACAUGCAAGUCGAACGGCAGCACGGGUGCUUGCACCUGGUGGCGAGUGGCGAACGGGUGAGUAAUACAUCGGAACAUGUCCUGUAGUGGGGGAUGGCCCGGCGAAAGCCGGAUUAAUACCGCAUACGAUCUACGGAUGAAAGCGGGGGACCUUCGGGCCUCGCGCUAUAGGGUUGGCCGAUGGCUGAUUAGCUAGUUGGUGGGGUAAAGGCCUACCAAGGCGACGAUCAGUAGCUGGUCUGAGAGGACGACCAGCCACACUGGGACUGAGACACGGCCCAGACUCCUACGGGAGGCAGCAGUGGGGAAUUUUGGACAAUGGGCGAAAGCCUGAUCCAGCAAUGCCGCGUGUGUGAAGAAGGCCUUCGGGUUGUAAAGCACUUUUGUCCGGAAAGAAAUCCUUGGCCCUAAUACGGUCGGGGGAUGACGGUACCGGAAGAAUAAGCACCGGCUAACUACGUG